GCCUGCCUGGCUCAGUUGGAAGAGCACAUGACUGUUGAUCUUGGGGUCGUGAGUUCGAGCCCCAUGUUGAGUG
rnacentral:tRNA from 1 species